GAUGAACGCUGGCGGCGUGCCUAAUACAUGCAAGUCGAGCGAACGGACGAGAAGCUUGCUUCUCUGAUGUUAGCGGCGGACGGGUGAGUAACACGUGGAUAACCUACCUAUAAGACUGGGAUAACUUCGGGAAACCGGAGCUAAUACCGGAUAAUAUUUUGAACCGCAUGGUUCAAAAGUGAAAGACGGUCUUGCUAUCACUUAUAGAUGGAUCCGCGCUGCAUUAGCUAGUUGGUAAGGUAACGGCUUACCAAGGCAACGAUGCAUAGCCGACCUGAGAGGAUGAUCGGCCACACUGGAACUGAGACACGGUCCAGACUCCUACGGGAGGCAGCAGUAGGGAAUCUUCCGCAAUGGGCGAAAGCCUGACGGAGCAACGCCGCGUGAGUGAUGAAGGUCUUCGGAUCGUAAAACUCUGUUAUUAGGGAAGAACAUAUGUGUAAGUAACUGUGCACAUCUUGACGGUACCUAAUCAGAAAGCCACGGCUAACUACGUG
rnacentral:rRNA from 1 species